UCCUACGCUGUCUCUAGCUGUUUCUCGUCGGGUCGGUUCCUUCGCACGUAUAAUGCGGAAACAAACGAACGGAAGUUAACCCUUAACUGUCGAGCUGGAGUCUCAGAGACUUCAUAGAUCUUCCUCGCUAGGUGACAAUGUUGCUAUAGGAAGUUCCCUCAGUCGAAACAAAGAGUCACCAACACCGAGAAUGGCUUAAUGGUGGCAUAGGUGUAGGAAAUUGGCGCUAAUAGCGGAUCGUUCCCACGGAAACGUCACAUCAAUCCGUUUCGGGAGCAGUUUCACCGAAAAUCGGGAACCGUACCACCGUAAACACACGUGGAAACCCUCGAGCAGUUUUCCAUCUUACUAGGCUCCAUUCUCGGCCGAGAAAAUUUGCUCCAGACGCAGAGCGACGGAUUUUAUGUUACCCCUAAGAUUCUAUCAAUUUUUGGAUCACAUCGGUGAAUGGAGAACACCGAAUUGUCUUAGGAAUGUUGAAAAAUUCAUGACCUAUUCAUGAUCGUCAGGACGAUGGAAAAUUAUUCAAAUGGUAAUAUAGUCGGCUAUAUUCAAGCAAUUUUCAAACUCAAUCGCUGGGAAGGAGAUCUUUAGCGUUAAUAAAAUUACUCUUUAUCCGGGACACUGAAUCUUGGGACAUUUAAUUGGAAACUUUUAAGAUAAAGAUCCUUAAAUUAAAAGCACUGUUCUUGAUUGCGAAAAUUUUUUACUGUCCUAUAUCUUGUUAACACGAUCCCCGUUGAAACAUUUUUAAGUGACUCAAGUGACGCGUAUAUUGAAAACGGAUAUGGCGGACGAAAGUGCCUUUGAAGCAAAUUAAGCCGACGAUGGAUCGUCCGAUAGC